AAAACCAUUAUUAUUUAUUACCAAUCAAUAUUUAUAUUGUUGGGUAAACAAAUUUCGGAACAUCUUUCGUCUUGUUAAUGUAGCUGGCAAGCAAAGCGGCGUUAUGAAUAAAUUUAAGUUGCUAUAGAAACAAUGUUCUGUUGAUUGUCACUUGUGUCAUAGAAAAUAAAAAGAGCUAUCCAUUGUGUAUUCCUACUGUUGUAAUAAAUUAAUUUCGUGGACAAAUCUAUCUUCUAUUUUUCUACUGUAAAAUCACACUCAGCCACACGCUCACACACGUCUGACAUUGAAAAGACAGGGAUUUUUCUUGUUUUGACGUAUUUUCUAACCUCUUAGAAUGUUAUUAGAAGUCGUAAUAAAAUAAUUUGAAUAUAAAGCUAUGUUUUAAAGUAAAUAAAGACCAUUUAACGAUGUUAACAUGAUGAGACAUCGAUUUUAUGGAAUGGAGGAGAAGAUUUAACAGCUAGAAAUUAACAAAAAUCCUGCAAGAGCAUCGAGAUCUCGCUUUUGGCGAGUGGAAGUCCAAAGGCAAAGUGCAGCGGUUUGCAGUUCUUAGCCUCACUUUUUUGGACCUAACAAGACAGGAAAAGAAUAGUCAAAGAGGAAACCCGAGUAGCCAGAUGAUAAUAUAUGAAACCAUGAGCAGCCAGCCAUUAAAACUCUCAGCAAUUUGAAU